GACGAACGCUGGCGGCGUGCCUAACACACGCAAGUCGAGCGAGGAACUUCGGUUCCUAGCGGCGGACGGGUGAGUAACACGUGGGUAACCUGGCUCAUAGAGGGGGAUAGCCUCCCGAAAGGGAGAUUAAUACCGCAUAAGAAGCGAAAGUCGCAUGGCUUUAGCUUUAAAGGAGUAAUCCGCUAUGAGAUGGGCCCGCGGCGCAUUAGCUAGUUGGUGGGGUAACGGCUCACCAAGGCAACGAUGCGUAGCCGACCUGAGAGGGUGAUCGGCCACAUUGGAACUGAGACACGGUCCAGACUCCUACGGGAGGCAGCAGUGGGGAAUAUUGCACAAUGGGCGAAAGCCUGAUGCAGCAACGCCGCGUGAGUGAUGACGGCCUUCGGGUUGUAAAGCUCUGUCUUUGGGGACGAUAAUGACGGUACCCAAGGAGGAAGCCACGGCUAACUACGUGCCAGCCGCCGCUGUAACAC
rnacentral:rRNA from 1 species